GCAGUGACUGGCUCAGGAGACCCCAGAUGUACCCAACCGCCUGAGGUCCUUGGAAAUCACUUGGGUUUGUGGGUACAGUCAGCCGUCAGGUGACAUUUGGGGUGCCAGGGGACAGGUGUGAUUGCUGUUUCCUAAGGGGAAGGCUGUGACCUGUGUACUAGUGGUCGCAUUGAGCUGUCAAGAUACCCAGAUGUCAGGGAGAGGCGUCUGCAGGGUGAUGGCAGUGGAGGAGGGGAGCAGGAAGAAGUAAGAGCUGCCCCAGGCCUGUAGUUCCGUGUGCGAGUGGGCGAUGGCGUGUGGAUUGUGGGGGUACGUGGACCCCCGCAAUCAGGAGCCCCAGAGAAGGCGAAGCUCAGUGGACUGCGCUCUCUCCCAGCACCUGCUGCACAGUGGCACUAACAGCCUGGGGUUCCGGGAACUGAGGGCGAGGACCCUGCGAGCAGGCAUGUGACCUGCUGUCUUCUGGAAGGGGCAGUCUUCUCACAGAUGAAAGCUGGGGCCAGGAGCAGUAGAUUUGUAGUGCUGGCACCAAGCCCCAGCAAUAAUCCUGGUGGGAGAGGAGGAGGAGGAGGAGGAAGAGAAUUCAAGUUAGGAUGGUCCAAGAGUUGGCUUAGAGACUAGUUCAUUGGACUUAAAAGCACAAGGUCCAGAGUUAAUCCCCAGAGCAGCAUAUGCCAGAGUGAUACUCUAGUUCUCUCUUUCCCUUUCACUUCUAUUGAUAAAUAAAUGUAUCAAAAAUUUAUCAAGUUAGGGGCCAGGUAGUGACUUGUGGUUGAGUGAGCACAUUAUCACAUGCAAGGUCCCGGUUCAAGCUUCUAGUCCCCAUCUACAGGAAGGAAACCACAAGUGGUGAAGCAUUUCUGCUUCCCUCUCUUCCUCCCCCUCACACCUUGAGACCUAUCUCUAUCCAAAAUAAAAUAAAUAAAUGAAAAAAGAAAGCUGGGGGUGUUGAGAGUGGCAUCCCUUUAGGACCUGACGGAGGAGUCCCAAGAUAGGAAAGGUGGGUGGAGAGGGAGAUGUUUACCCAGGAACCUUUUUUUUUUUUUUUGCCUGCAGGGUUAUUGCUGGGGCUCAGUGCCUGCACCAUGAAUCCACUGCUCCUGGAGACCAUUUCCCCCCCUUUUGUUGCCCUUGUUAUAGCCUUGUUGUGGUUAUUAUUGUUGUUGAUGAUGUCGUUUGUUGUUGGACAGGACAGAGAGAAAUGGAGGGGGGGGGGAGACAGAGAGAGGGGAAAGAGACAGACACCUGCAGACCUGCUUCACUGCCUCCCCUGCAUGUGUGGAGCAGGGGGCUUGAACUGGGAUCCUUACGCCGGUCCCUGCACUUUGCGCCAUGUGUGCUUAAUCCCCCCCCCCCCCACCAGGUACCUUCUUUAUUGUCAGGAAGAAGCCUCCGUGGAGACAAGGAGACAGUGGAAGUGCUGGAGGGUCAGGAGGACUCCCUUAUGGUUCCUUGCUGCACCUAGGACAUGCGUUCAGGUGUAUGGUGUUUGAAUUCUUUAUUAGACAUGCAAAGUAAAGAGCAAGAAUCGGGAUAGAUUUCCUGAGGGUCUUUGGGCCCAAAAGCCAGGCUAAAAACCACAAGUCAAUGACCAAGCCCAAGACCCUCCUUUGUCCAAGAGGUCCUCCUUUAUAACUCUUUUUACAUCACACUGGGGCACAUUUUCUUUUUUUUUUUUUUUGCCUCCAGGGUUAUUGCUGGGGCUCGGUGCCUGCACCACAAAUCCCCUGCUCCUGGAGACCAUUCCUCCCCCCUUUUGUUGCCCUUUUUCUUUUAUUGUUAUAGUUACUAUUAUUGUUGUUAUUGAUGUCAUCGUUGUUGGGCAGGACAGAGAAAAUGGAGAGAAGGAAGCUGGGGAGAGAAAGACAGACACCUGCAGACCUGCUUCACCUCUUGUGAAGCGACUCCCCUGCAGGAAAGGACCCAAAGAGCCACGGUUUACGAGAAGAGCGAAUGAAGUUCGUCACAAAAGACCACAUCCUUCCAUGUUUAUAUGAAAUGUCCAGACUAGGUGAACUGUCUGCAUUCCCACGUCAGCACCAGAGGCACCGAAGCAGGAGCCAGGAAAAUUUGGGCCACACCACAGCCUGCUAAGCUCAUUGAGCCUCAGGUCCCUCAUGCUGAGUGUCUGAAACAUUUUUUGUUUUGCUGCCAGAGUGACUGCGGGGACUCGGUACCUGUGCAAGUAAUCUACCACUCUUGGCAAUUAUUUAUUUAUUUUCCUAUUCUCCUCCUUCCUUUCCUUCCUUUUCUUUAUUAGUGAUUUAAUAAUGAUUAACAAGACUAUAGGAUAACGGGGGUACAAUUUCACCUAUUCCCACCACCAGAGUUCCCUGUCCCAUCUCCUCCAUUGGAAGCUUCCCUAUUCUUCUUUGAAAAAUUUUAUUAUUUUCCCUUUUGUUGCCCUUGUUUUAUUGUUGUUGUAGUUAUUGUUGUUGCUGAUGUCAUUGUUGGAUAGGACAGAGAGAAAUGGAGAGAGACAGGGAAGACAGAGAGGG